CGACCCUAAAUUGGCAGACACCGGGUUUUAUAUUUGUGGCGCUUCGUAUUUCUUUUGGUUAGAUGAGGAAAUAUCUAUAUACCAGUAUCAACAUAUCACAAUUGACGUGAACGGUGGUAUCAGCAAUGCUGCCUUCGCUGUAUUGGGCGCUGCUGCUGUGGUGGCUAACGUCAUGUUUCUGGUGUGUGUGGUGUACUUUAAACUGGGCUGUAAGAGAGUACAAAAGACGUUGAUUGUUCCAUUUAAAGUCUGGUAGACUAGAUGAACAACAUUUCAAGUCUAGGUUUUAAGACUAGAUUUCAAGUCUAGAUUUCACGUCUAGAUUUCAAGUCUUGAU